rnacentral:rRNA from 1 species
GACGAACGCUGGCGGCGUGCUUAACACAUGCAAGUCGAACGGAAAGGCCCUGCUUUUGUGGGGUGCUCGAGUGGCGAACGGGUGAGUAACACGUGAGUAACCUGCCCUUGACUUUGGGAUAACUUCAGGAAACUGGGGCUAAUACCGGAUAGGAGCUCCUGCUGCAUGGUGGGGGUUGGAAAGUUUCGGCGGUUGGGGAUGGACUCGCGGCUUAUCAGCUCGUUGGUGGGGUAGUGGCUUACCAAGGCUUUGACGGGUAGCCGGCCUGAGGGGGUGACCGGCCACAUUGGGACUGAGAUACGGCCCAGACUCCUACGGGAGGCAGCAGUGGGGAAUAUUGCACAAUGGGCGGAAGCCUGAUGCAGCAACGCCGCGUGCGGGAUGACGGCCUUCGGGUUGUAAACCGCUUUCGCCUGUGACGAAGCGUGAGUGACGGUAAUGGGUAAAGAAGCACCGGCUAACUACGUG